UACGGAGGGGGGCUAGCGUUGUUCGGAAUUACUGGGCGUAAAGCGCACGUAGGCGGCUUUGUAAGUUAGAGGUGAAAGCCCCAGGGCUCAACCCUGGAAUUGCCUUUAAGACUGCAUCGCUUGAACAUCGGAGAGGUAGGUGGAAUUCCGAGUGUAGAGGUGAAAUUCGUAGAUAUUCGGAAGAACACCAGUGGCGAAGGC
rnacentral:rRNA from 1 species